rnacentral:rRNA from 1 species
GUGCGAAAGCAGGUCAUAGUGAUCCGGUGGUUCUGAAUGGAAGGGCCAUCGCUCAACGGAUAAAAGGUACUCCGGGGAUAACAGGCUGAUACCGCCCAAGAGUUCAUAUCGACGGCGGUGUUUGGCACCUCGAUGUCGGCUCAUCACAUCCUGGGGCUGAAGUAGGUCCCAAGGGUAUGGCUGUUCGCCAUUUAAAGUGGUACGCGAGCUGGGUUUAGAACGUCGUGAGACAGUUCGGUCCCUAUCUGCCGUGGGCGCUGGAGAACUGAGGGGGGCUGCUCCUAGUACGAGAGGACCGGAGUGGACGCAUCACUGGUGUUCGGGUUGUCAUGCCAAUGGCACU